CAGUCGCCACGGUAAUACGUAGGGUGCGAGCGUUAAUCGGAAUUACCGGGCGUAAAGCGUGCGCAGGCGGUUGUGUAAGACAGGUGUGAAAUCCCCGGGCUUAACCUGGGAACUGCGCUUGUGACUGCACAGCUAGAGUAUGGCAGAGGGGGGUGGAAUUCCACGUGUAGCAGUGAAAUGCGUAGAGAUGUGGAGGAACACCGAUGGCGAAGGCAGCCCCCUGGGCCAAUACUGACGCUCAUGCACGAAAGCGUGGGGAGCAAACAGGAUUAGAUACCCGCGUAGUCCCUGUCUCUUAUAC
rnacentral:rRNA from 1 species